CGUAAUCCGGGUUGCGGACAGUGUCUGGUGGGUAGUUUGACUGGGGCGGUCUCCUCCUAAAGAGUAACGGAGGAGCACGAAGGUUGGCUAAUCCUGGUCGGACAUCAGGAGGUUAGUGCAAUGGCAUAAGCCAGCUUGACUGCGAGCGUGACGGCGCGAGCAGGUGCGAAAGCAGGUCAUAGUGAUCCGGUGGUUCUGAAUGGAAGGGCCAUCGCUCAACGGAUAAAAGGUACUCCGGGGAUAACAGGCUGAUACCGCCCAAGAGUUCAUAUCGACGGCGGUGUUUGGCACCUCGAUGUCGGCUCAUCACAUCCUGGGGCUGAAGUAGGUCCCAAGGGUAUGGCUGUUCGCCAUUUAAAGUGGUACGCGAGCUGGGUUUAGAACGUCGUGAGACAGUUCGGUCCCUAUCUGCCGUGGGCGCUGGAGAACUGAGGGGGGCUGCUCCUAGUACGAGAGGACCGGAGUGGACGCAUCACUGGUGUUCGGGUUGUCAUGCCAAUGGCACUGCCCGGUAGCUAAAUGCGGAAGAGAUAAGUGCUGAAAGCAUCUAAGCACGAAACUUGCCCCGAGAUGAGUUCUCCCUGACUCCUUGAGAGUCCUGAAGGAACGUUGAAGACGACGACGUUGAUAGGCCGGGUGUGUAAGCGCAGCGAUGCGUUGAGCUAACCGGUACUAAUGAACCGUGAGGCUUAACCUU
rnacentral:rRNA from 1 species